rnacentral:piRNA from 1 species
UCUGACAUGGGUAGAUGGGAAUUUCA